rnacentral:rRNA from 1 species
UACGAAGGGGGCUAGCGUUGCUCGGAAUCACUGGGCUUAAAGGGAGCGCAGGCGGAUUAGUAAGUCAGUGGUGAAAGCCUUAAGCUUAACUUGGGAACUGCCAUUGAUACUAUUAGUCUUGAAUGUUGUUGAGGUUUGCGGAAUGGGUCAUGUAGCGGUGAAAUGCAUAGAUAUGACCCGGAACACCUAUUGCGAAGGCAGCAGGCUAAACAAAUAUUGACGCUGAGGCUCGAAAGCGUGGGGAUCAAGCAGG